GACGAACCGUGCGAACGUUGUUCGGAUUCACUGGGCUUAAAGGGCGCGUAGGCGGCUUGCCGAGUCAGGGGUGAAAUCUUUCGGCUCAACCGGAAAACAGCUUCUGAUACUGGCAGGCUUGAGGGAGGUAGGGGCGGAUGGAACUUCCGGUGGAGCGGUGAAAUGCGUAGAUAUCGGAAGGAACGCCGGUGGCGAAAGCGAUCCGCUGGACCUCCUCUGACGCUGAGGCGCGAAAGCCAGGGGAGCAAACGGG
rnacentral:rRNA from 1 species